rnacentral:rRNA from 1 species
UCAGGAUGAACGCUAGCGACAGGCUAACACAUGCAAGUCGAGGGGCAGCAUAAAAGUAGCAAUACUUGGUGGCGACCGGCGCACGGGUGAGUAACGCGUAUGCAACCUACCUAUCAGAGGGGAAUAACCCGGCGAAAGUCGGACUAAUACCGCAUAAAACAGGGACACCGCAUGGUGAUAUUUGUUAAAGAAAUUCGCUGAUAGAUGGGCAUGCGUUCCAUUAGGUAGUUGGUGAGGUAACGGCUCACCAAGCCGACGAUGGAUAGGGGAACUGAGAGGUUGGUCCCCCACACCGGUACUGAGACGCGGACCAGACUCCUACGGGAGGCAGCAGUGAGGAAUAUUGGUCAAUGGGCGAGAGCCUGAACCAGCCAAGUCGCGUGAAAGGAAGAAGGAUCUAUGGUUCGUAAACUUCUUUUGCAGGGGAAUAAAGUGCAGGACGUGUCCUGUUUUGUAUGUACCCUGAGAAUAAGGAUCGGCUAACUCCGUGCCAGCCGCAGC